UUUGGGGUUAUUCAUAGAAUUAUAUCUGAAUAAGUUGUCACUUUGACAUUUAAGGUUCAAAUCGGUGAACAUAAAUAAUCACAGAAUUAUAUUUUAACCGAAUGUCAGUUUGACAAUCUCCAUGUUUUCUGAAAAACGUUAUAAUUUUCUUACUUAAUUAAAAUUCUUUUAUUUUAAAUUAUCAAAAAUGUGCCGGUAGCUUCAUGGUUUGACGAUAUGAAUGAUUCUGAACUAUUGGAUUUGAUACCUUUCUUUGAGAAACUCAGCAAAAUGGACAAUGUAUACACAGUGUUGUGCAACUCGAACCAUCCGUAUAAUAAUGGAGGACCA